GCGGGGUCACUGGCAGCCAUAUUCGUAAGAAGUGCUAAUUGAUUACAGCCAGCAGUCCAAGCUUUACCAACAGAGAAAUGAGAACAAACUGUCAUUUCAGGCUCCCAGUGUUUAUACUAUUAGAUAAAUAGUUGCAGUGGUUCUCUUUCUUCCAGAGUUUGUAAGUGUAUAUUUAUGUCUGCAGCUCAUAACUGCAGUUUGCUCCUGCUGUAUAUCUCCUCCCUACUAAGCUUAGCUGCCACAGAAAGACAAGUAAGGCAAAGAAAAUGAUGUUUCAGAGAGGUGGUGUGGAAGGAGAUGGACUGUUUUUGAAAAAUGUCCCCAGUGAUACAACGGCCUUGACUGAGCUUCAUCAACAUGAGAUGGAAGAAAACAAUGACACAAGUCUACUCUCAGACUAGAAAUAAUCAUAUCAACAUUAUUACUUUUGCAUCACCAGGUAGGGCACAAAUAAUGAAGUGUUUGUUCUCCUGAACAUUUGUAAAUAAUGUCUUAUUUUUAUUAGUGGAGUCCUUAAUGUACUCUGCUGGUGCAAAAUUGAUUUUUUUCCCCCUCUGUGCCCCUUCCAUAAAACCUCACAGGAAAGAGGAACUGUGUAGUAAGAUCCCCACUGGGCUGAGUUGACUUCAUAGAAUCCGAAUGAACAGAAGUUAUUCGAUGUGUGUUGCAAAAUCUCUCCUUUCUGCCCUAAAGCAGCUGACAUACUAAUGCAGAAAAGUUUUCAACUGCAGAUGUAUUUUUACUGUUAUUUCAUUAUCGGUUUUGCGAUUUUGUUAACAGAUUAAGUUAAUUCAUGUGGAGUGGAUGGUGAAAAUCUUCAGUGUGGUGUUACUGGGGCACAGGCCAACAGCAUAAGAAUGAAAAAUAGCUAAUAUGAGCCAGGGACAAAAAGUCUCUUGCAGCUCUUAACUUAGAGUGAAGUGACUCAGUCCACUGACUUGCAGUCAGAGUUGUAACCUGAUCUUCCAGAAUUUCUUCACAGCAUUUCAUCUCAUGGUUAACAAGCCCUAUAACUAAUGCUUUUUCAUGAAAACGAGAAGUGUCUAUU
rnacentral:lncRNA from 1 species